rnacentral:rRNA from 1 species
UUAAGCGACUAAGCGUACACGGUGGAUGCCCUGGCAGUCAGAGGCGAUGAAGGGCGUGCUAAUCUGCGAUAAGCGCCGGUAAGGUGAUAUGAACCGUUAUAACCGGCGAUACCCGAAUGGGGAAACCCAGUGUGACUCGUCACACUAUCAUUAACUGAAUCCAUAGGUUAAUGAGGCGAACCGGGGGAACUGAAACAUCUAAGUACCCCGAGGAAAAGAAAUCAACCGAGAUUCCCCCAGUAGCGGCGAGCGAACGGGGAGGAGCCCAGAGCCUGAAUCAGCAUGUGUGUUAGUGGAAGCGUCUGGAAAGGCGCGCGAUACAGGGUGACAGCCCCGUACACAAAAGCGCAUGUGCUGUGAGCUCGAUGAGUAGGGCGGGACACGUGGUAUCCUGUCUGAAUAUGGGGGGACCAUCCUCCAAGGCUAAAUACUCCUGACUGACCGAUAGUGAACCAGUACCGUGAGGGAAAGGCGAAAAGAACCCCGGCGAGGGGAGUGAAAAAGAACCUGAAACCGUGUACGUACAAGCAGUGGGAGCCCCACCACUAAGCCAGUGGUGAACUCCACAUACGCAUCCUUUGCUGAGGAUGCGGUUAACGGAGCGAAAGCGACGUUCAACCGCAAAAGAAGCAGAGGGGGCUUAGUGGUGGGGUGACUGCGUACCUUUUGUAUAAUGGGUCAGCGACUUAUAUUCUGUAGCAAGGUUAACCGAAUAGGGGAGCCGGAGGGAAACCGAGUCUUAAUUGGGCGUUAAGUUGCAGGGUAUAGACCCGAAACCCGGUGAUCUAGCCAUGGGCAGGUUGAAGGUUGGGUAACACUAACUGGAGGACCGAACCGACUAAUGUUGAAAAAUUAGCGGAUGACCUGUGGCUGGGGGUGAAAGGCCAAUCAAACCGGGAGAUAGCUGGUUCUCCCCGAAAGCUAUUUAGGUAGCGCCUCGUGAAUUCAUCUCCGGGGGUAGAGCACUGUUUCGGCUAGGGGGCCAUCCCGGCUUACCAACCCGAUGCAAACUGCGAAUACCGGAGAAUGUUAUCACGGGAGACACACGGCGGGUGCUAACGUCCGUCGUGAAGAGGGAAACAACCCAGACCGCCAGCUAAGGUCCCAAAGUCAUGGUUAAGUGGGAAACGAUGUGGGAAGGCCCAGACAGCCAGGAUGUUGGCUUAGAAGCAGCCAUCAUUUAAAGAAAGCGUAAUAGCUCACUGGUCGAGUCGGCCUGCGCGGAAGAUGUAACGGGGCUAAACCAUGCACCGAAGCUGCGGCAGCGACACUAUGUGUUGUUGGGUAGGGGAGCGUUCUGUAAGCCUGUGAAGGUGGCCUGUGAGGGUUGCUGGAGGUAUCAGAAGUGCGAAUGCUGACAUAAGUAACGAUAAAGCGGGUGAAAAGCCCGCUCGCCGGAAGACCAAGGGUUCCUGUCCAACGUUAAUCGGGGCAGGGUGAGUCGACCCCUAAGGCGAGGCCGAAAGGCGUAGUCGAUGGGAAACGGGUUAAUAUUCCCGUACUUGGUGUUACUGCGAAGGGGGGACGGAGAAGGCUAUGUUGGCCGGGCGACGGUUGUCCCGGUUUAAGCGUGUAGGUGUGUGUUCCAGGUAAAUCCGGUUCACUUUAACACUGAGGCGUGAUGACGAGGCACUACGGUGCUGAAGCAACAAAUGCCCUGCUUCCAGGAAAAGCCUCUAAGCAUCAGGUAACAUCAAAUCGUACCCCAAACCGACACAGGUGGUCAGGUAGAGAAUACCAAGGCGCUUGAGAGAACUCGGGUGAAGGAACUAGGCAAAAUGGUGCCGUAACUUCGGGAGAAGGCACGCUGACAUGUAGGUGAAGUGAUUUACUCAUGGAGCUGAAGUCAGUCGAAGAUACCAGCUGGCUGCAACUGUUUAUUAAAAACACAGCACUGUGCAAACACGAAAGUGGACGUAUACGGUGUGACGCCUGCCCGGUGCCGGAAGGUUAAUUGAUGGGGUCAGCGCAAGCGAAGCUCCUGAUCGAAGCCCCGGUAAACGGCGGCCGUAACUAUAACGGUCCUAAGGUAGCGAAAUUCCUUGUCGGGUAAGUUCCGACCUGCACGAAUGGCGUAAUGAUGGCCAGGCUGUCUCCACCCGAGACUCAGUGAAAUUGAACUCGCUGUGAAGAUGCAGUGUACCCGCGGCAAGACGGAAAGACCCCGUGAACCUUUACUAUAGCUUGACACUGAACAUUGAGCCUUGAUGUGUAGGAUAGGUGGGAGGCUUUGAAGUGUGGACGCCAGUCUGCAUGGAGCCGACCUUGAAAUACCACCCUUUAAUGUUUGAUGUUCUAACGUGGACCCGUAAUCCGGGUUGCGGACAGUGUCUGGUGGGUAGUUUGACUGGGGCGGUCUCCUCCUAAAGAGUAACGGAGGAGCACGAAGGUUGGCUAAUCCUGGUCGGACAUCAGGAGGUUAGUGCAAUGGCAUAAGCCAGCUUGACUGCGAGCGUGACGGCGCGAGCAGGUGCGAAAGCAGGUCAUAGUGAUCCGGUGGUUCUGAAUGGAAGGGCCAUCGCUCAACGGAUAAAAGGUACUCCGGGGAUAACAGGCUGAUACCGCCCAAGAGUUCAUAUCGACGGCGGUGUUUGGCACCUCGAUGUCGGCUCAUCACAUCCUGGGGCUGAAGUAGGUCCCAAGGGUAUGGCUGUUCGCCAUUUAAAGUGGUACGCGAGCUGGGUUUAGAACGUCGUGAGACAGUUCGGUCCCUAUCUGCCGUGGGCGCUGGAGAACUGAGGGGGGCUGCUCCUAGUACGAGAGGACCGGAGUGGACGCAUCACUGGUGUUCGGGUUGUCAUGCCAAUGGCACUGCCCGGUAGCUAAAUGCGGAAGAGAUAAGUGCUGAAAGCAUCUAAGCACGAAACUUGCCCCGAGAUGAGUUCUCCCUGAGACUUUAGGUCUCCUGAAGGAACGUUGAAGACGACGACGUUGAUAGGCCGGGUGUGUAAGCGCAGCGAUGCGUUGAGCUAACCGGUACUAAUGAACCGUGAGGCUUAACCUU